rnacentral:rRNA from 1 species
GAUGAACGCUGGCGGCGUGCCUAAUACAUGCAAGUCGAGCGAACAGACGAGGAGCUUGCUCCUCUGACGUUAGCGGCGGACGGGUGAGUAACACGUGGAUAACCUACCUAUACGACUGGGAUAACUUCGGGAAACCGGAGCUAAUACCGGAUAAUAUAUUGAACCGCAUGGUUCAAUAGUGAAAGACGGUUUUGCUGUCACUUAUAGAUUGAUACGCGGCGCAUUAGCUAGUUGGUAAGGUGACGGCUUACCAAGGCAACGAUGCGUAGCCGACCUGAGAGGGUGAUUCGCCACACGGGCUGUGAGACACGGUCGAGACUCCGACAGGAGGCAGCAGUAGGGAAUCUUCCGCAAUGCGCGAGAGCCUGACGGUGCAACGCCGCGGGAGGGAUGAAGGUCUUAGGACCGGAAAACUCUGUUAGUAGGGAAGAACAAAUGUGCAAGUAACUAUGCUCGUAUUGACGGUACCGAAACAGAAAGCCACGGCUAACUACGUG